rfam:Gymnopus luxurians FD-317 M1 unplaced genomic scaffold GYMLTscaffold_23, whole genome shotgun sequence.
GGCGCUAUAGCCAAGUGGUUACGGCGACAGAUUAGAAUACAUGAGGUGGUAGUGCUUGAUCUGUUCCUCUUUGAGGGCGCAGGUUCGAAUCCUGCUGGCGUCG